GAUGAACGCUGGCGGCGUGCCUAAUACAUGCAAGUCGAACGAACAGACCUUGAGUUUUCUUCUUGGACGACAGCGGCGGACGGGUGAGGAACACGUGGAUAACCUACCUGUAAGACUGGGAAAACUUGGGGAAAUAGCAGCUGAUACCGGAAAAUAUAUUGAACCGCAUGGUUCAAUAGUGAUAGACUUUUUUGCUGUCGCUUAUAGAUGGGUCCGCGCCUGAUUAGCUAGUUGGUAGGGUAACGGCCUACCAAGGCGACGAUUGGUAGCCGAACUGAGAGGAGGAACGGCCACAUCGGGACUGAGACACGGCCCAGACUCCUACGGGAGGCAGCAGUGGGGAAUCCUCCGCAAUGGGCGAAAGGCUGACGGAGCAAUGCCGCGGGAGUGAUGAAGGAAUUCGGUCCGUAAAGAUCUUUUGUUUAGGACGAAUGUGCAGAUUGUAAAUAAUAAUCUGUAAUGACGGUAGUAAACGAAUAAGCCACGGCUAACUACGUG
rnacentral:rRNA from 1 species